AGAGUUUGAUCCUGGCUCAGAACGAACGCUGGCGGCAGGCCUAACACAUGCAAGUCGAGCGAGAUCUUCGGAUCUAGCGGCGGACGGGUGAGUAACGCGUGGGAAUGUGCCCUUCUCUACGGAAUAGUCCCGGGAAACUGGGUUUAAUACCGUAUACGCCCCUCGGGGGAAAGAUUUAUCGGAGAAGGAUCAGCCCGCGUUGGAUUAGGUAGUUGGUGGGGUAAUGGCCUACCAAGCCGACGAUCCAUAGCUGGUUUGAGAGGAUGAUCAGCCACACUGGGACUGAGACACGGCCCAGACUCCUACGGGAGGCAGCAGUGGGGAAUCUUAGACAAUGGGGGAAACCCUGAUCUAGCCAUGCCGCGUGAGUGACGAAGGCCCUAGGGUCGUAAAGCUCUUUCGCCAGGGAUGAUAAUGACAGUACCUGGUAAAGAAACCCCGGCUAACUCCGUGCCAGCAGCCGCGGUAAUACGGAGGGGGUUAGCGUUGUUCGGAAUUACUGGGCGUAAAGCGCACGUAGGCGGACUAUUAAGUCAGGGGUGAAAUCCCGGGGCUCAACCCCGGAACUGCCUUUGAUACUGGUAGUCUUGAGUUCGAGAGAGGUGAGUGGAAUUCC
rnacentral:rRNA from 1 species